GACGACUGUCUUGUCACAGGCGGAAAUCCACCCCCGGGCGCGCCUGAAAACGGUCGGAAGCAUCUAAUCAGGCGUUGGAUUUCGUAAAAGCGUCUGCGGCAAAUUGGUCACAGACAAGUUUUUCAUGAAAAUUUGGAAAUCUUCACAGAUCAGCGCCGCCCGAUCAAACACACUAAGCGCUUGAAAAUACUUCAAUAUUUUUGAGUGGUU
rnacentral:misc_RNA from 1 species